AUGACAGCAGAUGAUCUCUAUAUUCUGAAUCCACAUCCAUGGUCUGCUCCAUUGCAACUUCACCUUUCUAGGGAGUACUUAUAUGUUAUAUCUACAUCAGACUUUUCUGCCAAAAAUAUUCCAGUGUCAAUACCACCAGUGCAGGUUCACUGUGUAUACCAUCAGUGUAGAUAGGGCUUCAGGCAGCUGCAGGAGCUUUAAGCACAGCGACCCUGAUUCUCAAAGGUAUUUAGGCCUCUCACUUCCACUGAUUUCAAUGGGCGUUGAGAGCCUAAAUACCUUUAAGGAUCUGGGCCAGUGUCACCUAACCUUGCUCAUAGACAGUCUAGAUGACCUGGUGCUUCAAAUGCAGUCAGUGGUUUGUCUUGUUUACAAUAGUGCUACCACCAUUGCUACCACCGGUGGAGUUGCACAGGUGAAACUCUUAGGAAAAAAAAAGCUGGUGUGGAUACAUCCCUGUCUGCAAUACCCUAACUUUUAAACUAGGUUAAGAAAAAUAUCAUGCUAUAGAAGAGUUUAUAUCUACACUAUAAGCUCUAAAAAUUUGUUUUCAGUUGUGUGGCAGAGCUAUGUGAACCCUUCCAUGGGAGUCUUCUGACACAUGGGUAAUUUGAACAUAAUAGCGCUUACAAUGUGGAUUGUACUUUAAUUAUUAUUUCUCUGAUCUUCUGUAUUACAAUAUUUGAUACCCCUGCCUUUAUUUAUCGUUUGACCAUUUUAUUAUACAUCUCUACUCCAGUUCCUGUAUAUCACUCAAAAAUUUCAUUAUUCACAAAACUGAACAUCUGCUUCCUCACAUAAAAGACUUUUAUUAAGUAAUUAUGUUGUGUAUAGUUUAUUUCUCUCUGUUGUCACCUAAAGUGAGACUGCUCCACUUAAAAUCUGCUUUGCCAUAUAUAUCAACACAGAUAUGAGGAGAUUAGCGUUAUUCAAGACAGAGAAGCCAUAUGUUGGAACAAAAAUGCAAAGAUCCAAGGCCUUUAAGAAAAUCAAAUAAUGUGGAAAACAUAUAUGUCUACUUAUGGCAAGACCUCAGCUCCAUUUAAGAUACUUUAAAUAUUCAAGUAGCAAGGGGUGAGAAUAAAUUAGCUAAUUUGUAAGUAAACCUUGAAUUAUUUUAUUUGGUUUAAACUAGCUCGCUAAGGGAUUAUAGCUGAAAUAAGAAAGGCAGAAAGACUGGGGUUUUAAGACGUAUUUUUAUUCACAAAAUUGUUUUUGUCUGGGGUGAUGGAAGCUUUGGAGUGUUGUCUCACAGAGUGUCCUUUAGUAAAGAGAGUCAUGGAAGAGCUUGCCAAGGGGAUAGUACUUUCUGUUUUGUUAGGGCAGGGCAGACAGAACAUUUAGUCCAUUAUAUUUAGGAUAAAUUGUCCCAUCUGAAAUGUGGGGACAGACAGUAAUAUUUAGAAAAGGCAGGUCAAAGGUAGAGCUAGAGACAUAUAAGGAUUUGAGCAUCAUGUGGUGUUAUCUGGUUUUAUGGAAAAGGAGCACAAUCUGAUCCACAUUAAAGAGACUCCUCUUCCAUACAAUGGCCCUGAAACUCUUACAUGUAUGAGUAAGAAUUACUUCCUUGAAUGAUGACUGAAGGAUCUGUUAUGUCAUGGCUUGUUAUGUGAGCCGUCUGCAACAUCAUCCAUGGAAAAAGGUCAUCACCAACAGAAACAAUCGGGAAAAUGUACUGUUGUUAAUUUCAGUGCAAAAUAAAUUGUAUACAAAUAAUCUAUGUUAAAAAUUGUUGUUUAGAUUGCAAAAUCAGGAAUUAAAAAGUUGGAAAAUGCCAUAUUUACUGUAGCCCAUGCAAUGUGAAAGCAAUUCUUUCCCUUCCAGUUUCCCUGACAAGGCCUUGUGCAAUGUCCCACCAAUUAGAAUGUAGCAGGUUAAUGCAUAUAAAACAUCUCCCUUUAAAAUAUGCUGCUGACUUUUGGGGCCUGAUCCUGCAUCACUGAAAUGAAUGGGAGCUUUGUUAUUGACUUCAGUGGUGCAGGAACUCCCAAUGGACUGAGGGAGACCUUGCUGACAUCGCAAUGGGCCAUCAUGGCAAUCAGGCUGGAGAGCUCUGUGAGAGCUGUAAAGAGCAGCAGAAGAUGGAGAGAAAGCAGCAGUAGGUGGGGGAAUAGCGUCUUCCAGCUCCUCCACCCCCAGUGGAGUUUGAGGACAGAGUGUAACCAACAAAAGCAGGCAGGGAAACAAGGUCUGCCAGCUCCACCGUCACUGGUGUCACAGCUGUUUGGGAGUAGCUUCCUUGAUCUGCAGUCUUGGAAGAAGAGAGGGUGAUGGUAAAAGAUUGUAUGAGCCCAAACUGUUUCAGCAACAAAAGCUGCUACAUCUAAACUACAACACCUAUAUCUACCAUGGGAAGUGAUUCUGGCCCCUGACAUCACUAUUAGGAUGACUGAAGGGCAUACCCACUUAAAAUCAGGAAGAAGAGGUUCCCCCUCUACCCUGGGGGAACCCCACCUCCCUCCACACACUGAAGGAAGUGCUGGGAGCAGGAAUACAGGAGCCAUCCUGUCAAGGACUGCCACAAAGUUCAGGUGGAAGUACAGCAUCUUGGGAACUUCAGUGAGUUUUGGGGACUGGACUCCCAGUAACUACCUUGGGAGCAAACCUUGAAGGAAACUCCGAGAGUGCUAGGUGUCUUGUUUCUUGCACAUAGGAGCAUUAAACCCAUUAAUUUUAAUUCUCAAAUGCUUUGGGAUAUGAGUUUAAAUCCAAAUCCCACACCAAGACUUGGACUCAUCAUCCCCAGUGCUGACACUUCAGGAGGGUUAGUGUGAGAAAGGUGGACCCUUCACAGUUAUAGUAAGUACUGUAAGGGCUUGUUUCUUCUCUAGAAGAUGGUCACAUCACAGACCUUAGCUCUCUCAAUCUUUUUCACUCUGACUGGGGCUGGAGGAUUUUGUACGGAGACAAACUUUUUCAGGUGUUGGCCCCUUUAAAACUGGCCAACAGAAUGUCGUCUCUUGAAGAGCUGAGGGUUCCAGUUCAGUUGAGACAGGUGGAUCAGGCAGUGUCGGGGGGCGGGCUGUGGAUCCCUGAUCCCACCUUCCCCAGGGGAAACCAGGUGGGGGGGGGGAGGGUGGGCAAGGCUUGGAGCAAAUUUACAGUGAAAGGAACCAGAACAAAGGCAAAGUGAUAAAGAGAAUCCUCAGAGGAGGAAAGACCAAGGAGACGAUAGAAAAGGUGACCAAGAGAUGGACGGAGAAAGGAAGGCAGGGAAGACAGGUGAAGUGAAAAUGUAGAUAUUAUUGCUAGACAAAUCCUGUUCACUCUUCUCUAAAUUAUUAGUAUUUAUAUAAUAUAAAGUUGUGACCUUGAUCAUUGCUAAGUUCUGGUCCCUGCUCUGCCACUUACUCCUUGUGUAACUUGGGCGGGGGGGAUCAGCCUCCUUAUAGUUCAGUUUCACCACCAGUAGAAAUGGAAAUAGCACCUCUCUGGCUCACAGAGUAGUUGUUAAGGCUGUUUGUAAA